rnacentral:rRNA from 1 species
CCUACGGGGGGCAGCAGUGGGGAAUAUUGGACAAUGGGGGCAACCCUGAUCCAGCCAUGCCGCGUGUGUGAAGAAGGCCCUCGGGUUGUAAAGCACUUUCAGUGAGGAAGAACGCCUGGUGGUUAAUACCCAUCAGGAAAGACAUCACUCACAGAAGAAGCACCGGCUAACUCCGUGCCAGCAGCCGCGGUAAUACGGAGGGUGCGAGCGUUAAUCGGAAUUACUGGGCGUAAAGCGCGCGUAGGUGGCUUGAUAAGCCGGUUGUGAAAGCCCCGGGCUCAACCUGGGAACGGCAUCCGGAACUGUCAAGCUAGAGUGCAGGAGAGGAGGGUAGAAUUCCCGGUGUAGCGGUGAAAUGCGUAGAGAUCGGGAGGAAUACCAGUGGCGAAGGCGGCCUUCUGGACGGACACUGACGCUGAGGUGCGAAAGCGUGGGUAGCAAACAGGAUUAGAUACCCGGGUAGUC